rnacentral:lncRNA from 1 species
AACCUUGUCUUUUAUGUAAUGCAUUGAUUGAGUCACUGAGAAAGGAGAGGCCCUUCCUCCCAGAGUGAGCUGCUGGCUUCAUGUUGCUGUGCACUCCUAUGAGGAGCCAGCAAUGCACAAUGGGCAUCUGUGAGGGACAGCAGUCCGUGAUGCCUGCAUCUUGCCUUUCUGAGAAUAUUUUGCUGCCUGCAGCUGUGAGCCUUAUCCUGCAUCUGGGUGUGACCUAAGAUGUUAUGUCUUUAUUCAGCUCAUCAUCAAGACACUGUUGCUGGAUUGGUGGGAAUAUCUGUGUAUGUUUGGUUUCCAGGAAGACGUCUUUUCAUGGUCAUUCAUAUCUACAAAUCCUAAUCAUCAAAUCCUAAUCAUUACUCUCUUUUUUUUUUAAAUAAGAAAUCAGUGCUGCAAACUCCUGUAAAUUGUCUUCUAAGAAAAUGCAAUCUAUUAAUCUGUGAAAAUUUGGAAAUAAACAUGUAAUUUAAAAUUAAAAAAAAAAAAUACGAAAUAGGGCAGGGAUGUGGCUCGGUGGUUAAGUGUCCUGAGUUCAGUCCCUGGUUAACACCUCUCCCCCAAAUGAGGCAAACCUACACAUGCUAAGAUUAGACCACUCUGAUUAAUGGGAGAGGACAAAACAUGAGGUGCUGAUUGGCAUUUGCAGUAUUAUUUCUUUGUUAUAGAUGGAAAAAAUUGAAUACAUGUGUAUAAAUGUAUUUUUAUAAGUAUAAAUAUACCUUUUCAUGGAAAGCACUAAUAAAUG